AGAGUGAAACUCAAAGGAAUUGACGGGGACCCGCACAAGUAGCGGAGCAUGUGGUUUAAUUCGAAGCAACGCGAAGAACCUUACCUAAGCUUGACAUCCCAAUGACAUCUCCUUAAUCGGAGAGUUCCCUUCGGGGACAUUGGUGACAGGUGGUGCAUGGUUGUCGUCAGCUCGUGUCGUGAGAUGUUGGGUUAAGUCCCGCAACGAGCGCAACCCUUGUCUUUAGUUGCCAUCAUUAAGUUGGGCACUCUAGAGAGACUGCCAGGGAUAACCUGGAGGAAGGUGGGGAUGACGUCAAAUCAUCAUGCCCCUUAUGCUUAGGGCUACACACGUGCUACAAUGGGUAGUACAGAGGGUUGCCAAGCCGUAAGGCGGAGCUAAUCCCUUAAAGCUACUCUCAGUUCGGAUUGUAGGCUGAAACUCGCCUACAUGAAGCUGGAGUUACUAGUAAUCGCAGAUCAGAAUGCUGCGGUGAAUGCGUUCCCGGGUCUUGUACACACCGCCCGUCACACCACGGGAGUUGGAGACGCCCGAAGCCGAUUAUCUAACCUUUUGGAAGAAGUCGUCGAAGGUGGAAUCAAUAACUGGGGUGAAGUCGUAACAAGGUAGCCGUAUCGGAAGGUGCGGCUGGAUCACCUCCUUUCUAAGGA
rnacentral:rRNA from 1 species